ACAUCUCGGCUCAGUUUUCUCGUGCGUUCUAUCAUUACAUUCGCGUACCCUCCCCCACUCAUUAUCAACCACAUUUUGGAAAACGAGAAAUUCAGACAGGAAGCUUCGACUCUGCCUCCGCCUACUUCCUCAAAACCACCACGCAAACACCCUAUAGAUAUCAGGCUGCUGACGUCGCUGUCGUCGCAUGCUCUCGGUACAUUACAGUCUCCUAAUGUACUUACUAUACCCACCCUCCCCACCAAAAAAAAAAAUUAGAAAAUUCAAACUGCAACAAAUGGCCAAUAAGGGAGAAGGUGGGACUCAGAAAGGCUUCAACCCAGGUUGCAAUGUCUCGCGAAUCCACCUUAAAUCUGAAAAUGUACGCUGCGCCGGGGGUCACUGAAAUCAGCCAAUGCCGAUCGAGUUCACUAGCACCACCGUGGUACGGGGAAGGAGAACCGAGAAAAAUAAAUAACCACACCCCCCCUUCUUCCCUCCUCCCUACCCGAAGCACCAGCACCCCACCCCGCCCCGCCAAAAAGAGCGUUUGUAAGCAAAAAAGAAAAAAAAAGUUUUGCAAAACGGCCGGAGGAGACUGGUUUCUGGGGCUUUUUUUUUUUAAGGAAAAGAAGGAAAAGCAAGAAGGACUCAUCCCCAA